GGCUCGUUGGUCUAGGGGUAUGAUUUUCGCUUUGUUUGCGAGAGGUCCCGGGUUCAAAUCCCGGACGAGCCC
rnacentral:tRNA from 1 species